UACGUAGGGUGCAAGCGUUAUCCGGAAUUAUUGGGCGUAAAGAGCUCGUAGGCGGUUUUGUCGCGUCUGCUGUGAAAACUGGAGGCUCAACCUCCAGCCUGCAGUGGGUACGGGCAAACUAGAGUGCGGUAGGGGAGAUUGGAAUUCCUGGUGUAGCGGUGGAAUGCGCAGAUAUCAGGAGGAACACCAAUGGCGAAGGCAGAUCUCUGGGCCGUAACUGACGCUGAGGAGCGAAAGCAUGGGGAGCGAACAGG
rnacentral:rRNA from 1 species